rnacentral:rRNA from 1 species
UAGGGAAUCUUCCGCAAUGGACGAAAGUCUGACGGAGCAACGCCGCGUGAGUGAUGAAGGUUUUCGGAUCGUAAAACUCUGUUAUUAGGGAAGAACAAAUGCGUAAGUAACUGUGCGCAUCUUGACGGUACCUAAUCAGAAAGCCACGGCUAACUACGUGCCAGCAGCCGCGGUAAUACGUAGGUGGCAAGCGUUAUCCGGAAUUAUUGGGCGUAAAGCGCGCGUAGGCGGUUUCUUAAGUCUGAUGUGAAAGCCCACGGCUCAACCGUGGAGGGUCAUUGGAAACUGGGAAACUUGAGUACAGAAGAGGAAAGUGGAAUUCCAUGUGUAGCGGUGAAAUGCGCAGAGAUAUGGAGGAACACCAGUGGCGAAGGCGACUUUCUGGUCUGUAACUGACGCUGAUGUGCGAAAGCGUGGGGAUCAAACA